AGCUAGGUUUUUCGGGGAUUUUUUGUUUGUUCUUCUAAUUUUAAUAGAGUUCUCUUUUGAGUGUUCUUUGGUUCUGUUUGGUUUCGUUUUCGUAUAAAAAAUCAAAAUAAGAAAAAUCAAUCUCUUCCAGUUUCAAUCUUACAUAAAGUCAGAAAUACAAAGAAAAAGGGUUAAGUUUCGUCUCUUGCUUCGGCCAAAUGUAGUUUAGAUUUGGAGUUGCCGUUCGAAGUCGAGUCAGUGGUUCAUGCUCGAUCUAGCUGCUGCAUUUUUGAAGUGCGACACGCCGGUUCUAUUUGAGUUUCUAGUAUAAUUGUGGCUUAUUAACAUCUCUGUAAUUACCGGAAUUUUGAUUAAAGGUUCGUUCAUUCUCUUCCUAUUUUCAGAUUUUGGGUUGGAUUUACACCUGAUUUGAGCCUUAAUUAAUUGGUAUUCGGGAACACCGAACUUAUUUGGUUCUUAAUUGAGUAUUAGCAGAAGUUUGUUGAAAUUAUAUAAAUUGAUCAAAAAUAAUUGAAAUAGAUUAGUUUUAUAAAUAAAAGUCAAAAAUGGUAUUCAAGAACAUUGGUUUUCUUGCAUGAUAAAAUUGAUUUGUAUAAGUUUGAAUUUUCUUACAUGCCAUGUUUGAUUAUUUUUGUAUGGCAACGUUAAAUUUUUGGUGUAUGGUUUUAGUAUAAAUAGGUUGUACAAACUCAUUUGUAAAAUCAUCGCAAAACUUGUAUUAGAAAUUACAAGUGUAGUAUUGUAAGCUUUGAGUUUGAGUUAGUAAAUAUAUUUUUCUUUCUCGGACUUUCAUUUUUCGGUUUCAAAUCCCAAAGUUUAUUUCCGAGGAUUCAUUAUUUUUUUUGAUUUCUACAUUUGGUAUCAGAGCAAGGUUGAGUGUUGUGAGAAUGAAAAAUAUUGAAUCAUAUCGUCUAGUAACACGAUUCAAUUUCAGCUUCCAAGACUCACCUGGAAAAAUUACAACAAUUGGUCAAUCCAAUUGAAGGUAUUUUAGCACUUAUAUACUAAAAAAAUUUCUCUUUUCACUGUAGCGUGCGUGAAGUGCAUUUCCGUCACUAUUCUCACCGGAAUUCGGUGGCGAAUUAUUACAAUUUGGUGUCUCGACACUCUCCUUCGUGAGGUGAACACCUUCCUCUUAUUGUUUUUCUAAAAUCAUAAUCCAAACGCAACAGAUCUUAAAUUUUGCGUUUCUUACUGUUCAUUCAAAUUCUGGUUCGUUCUGUUGAAUCUCUCGGCUUGCUAACUAAUUUUUUGGAUUCGAAUCUAUAUACAUCUACAAUCAUACGACCUCCAGAUCGUUUGUUCACAACAUUUCUUUCGUUUGUACAAAAUAAUGUAUGAUCUCGUGUCUCAUUGGUAGUAUCUUGAAGAGUUCACGCGAUUUUGGCAGCCAUGU
rnacentral:lncRNA from 1 species